AUUGAACGCUGGCGGCAGGCCUAACACAUGCAAGUCGAGCGAGCGGCGGACGGGUGAGUAAUGUCUGGGAAACUGCCUGAUGGCGGGGGAUAACUACUGGAAACGGUCGCUAAUACCGCAUACCAUCAGAUGUGCCCAGAUGGUAUUAGCUAGUAGGUGGGGUAACGGCUCACCUAGGCGACGAUCCCUAGCUGGUCUGAGAGGAUGACCAGUAACAAUGUAACGGCGACACGGUCCAGACUCCUAAGGUAGGCAGCAGUGGGGAAUAUUGCACAAUGGGCGGAAGCCUGAUGCAGCCAUGGCGCGUGUGUGAAGAAGGCCUUCGGGUUGUAAAGCACUAGCAGCGGGGAGGCGUUACCCGCAGAAGAAGCACCGGCUAACUCCGUGCCAGCAGCCGCGGUAAUAC
rnacentral:rRNA from 1 species